rnacentral:rRNA from 1 species
UGCUUGGGGAUGUGCCCUAAGGUGGAGGAUAACUAUUGGAAACGAUAGCUAAUACUGCAUAGAAUCUACGGAUUAAAGGAGGCUUCGGCUUUCGCCUUUGGAUCAACCCAAGUGGGAUUAGCUAGUUGGUUGAGGUAAAGGCUCACCAAGGCAACGAUCCCUAGCUGGUUUGAGAGGAUGAUCAGCCACACUGGAACUGAGACACGGUCCAGACUCCUACGGGAGGCAGCAGUGGGGAAUAUUGCACAAUGGGCGCAAGCCUGAUGCAGCCAUGCCGCGUGUGUGAAGAAGGCCCUAGGG